GACAGAUGGGGCUAGCGUUUUGCAUAAUGAUUAGGUUACAGCGUGUGAAAGCGGAGAUUAUUUUAACGCCUCGGUGAGGGGGAUUAAAGAGAUGGAAUUUUCCAUGUAUUGGUUAAAUAAGCGAAUAUGGAUGAGGAACGCCAAAAGGCGAAGGCAAUCUCUUAAAAGAAUAGAAGCGGUAACACGGAAGUCCGAGGAGCAAAACGG
rnacentral:rRNA from 1 species